GAUGAAGAACGUAGCGAAAUGCGAUACUUGGUGUGAAUUGCAGAAUCCCGCGAAUCAUCGAGUUUUUGAACGCAAGUUGCGCCCGAAGCCAUUCGGCCGAGGGCACGUCUGCCUGGGUGUCACGCAUCGUUGCCCCCCCAAACUCCGGUUCGGGCGGGGCGGAAGUUGGCCUCCCGUGCGUGCCUGCGCGCGCGGUUAGCCCAAAGGCGAGUCCUCGGCGACGAGCGCCACGACAAUCGGUGGUUUUUUUACCCUCGUUCCUCGUCGUGCGUGUCCCGUCGCCCGAACGCGCUCUUGUGACCCUCACGCGUCGCCUCGGCGGCGCUCCCAACGCGACCCCAGGUCAGGCGGGACUACCCGCUGAGUUUAAGCAUAUCAAUAAGCGGAGGA
rnacentral:misc_RNA from 1 species